rnacentral:rRNA from 1 species
AGAGUUUGAUCCUGGCUCAGAUUGAACGCUGGCGGCAUGCUUUACACAUGCAAGUCGAACGGCAGCACGGGGAGCUUGCUCCCGGGUGGCGAGUGGCGCACGGGUGAGUAAUACAUCGGAACGUGUCCUGUUGUGGGGGAUAACUGCUCGAAAGGGUGGCUAAUACCGCAUGAGACCUGAGGGUGAAAGCGGGGGAUCGCAAGACCUCGCGCAAUUGGAGCGGCCGAUGCCCGAUUAGCUAGUUGGUGAGGUAAAGGCUCACCAAGGCGACGAUCGGUAGCUAGUCUGAGAGGACGACCAGCCACACUGGGACUGAGACACGGCCCAGACUCUUACGGGAGGCAGCA